GGGGAAUAUUGGACAAUGGGCGAAAGCCUGAUCCAGCCAUGCCGCGUGUGUGAAGAAGGCCUUUUGGUUGUAAAGCACUUUAAGUGGGGAGGAAAAGUUAAUGGUUAAUACCCAUUAACCCUGACGUUACCCACAGAAUAAGCACCGGCUAACUCUGUGCCAGCAGCCGCGGUAAUACAGAGGGUGCAAGCGUUAAUCGGAAUUACUGGGCGUAAAGCGCGCGUAGGUGGUUACUUAAGUCAGAUGUGAAAGCCCCGGGCUUAACCUGGGAACUGCAUCUGAUACUGGGUGACUAGAGUAGGUGAGAGGGAAGUAGAAUUCCAGGUGUAGCGGUGAAAUGCGUAGAGAUCUGGAGGAAUACCGAUGGCGAAGGCAGCUUCCUGGCAUCAUACUGACACUGAGGUGCGAAAGCGUGGGUAGCAAAC
rnacentral:rRNA from 1 species